rnacentral:rRNA from 1 species
GACGAACGCUGGCGGCGUGCCUAACACAUGCAAGUCGAGCGAGUGAAUCUCCUUCGGGAGUGAAGCUAGCGGCGGACGGGUGAGUAACACGUGGGCAACCUACCUCAUAGAGGGGAAUAGUCUUUCGAAGGGAAGAUUAAUACCGCAUAAGAUUGUAGCUUCGCAUGAAGUAGCAAUUAAAGGAGCAACCGCUAUGAGAUGGGCCCGCGGCGCAUUAGCUAGUUGGUGAGGUAACGGCUCACCAAGGCGACGAUGCGUAGCCGACCUGAGAGGGUGAUCGGCCACAUUGGGACUGAGGCACGGCCCAGACUCCUACGGGAGGCAGCAGUGGGGAAUAUUGCACAAUGGGGGAAACCCUGAUGCAGCAACGCCGCGUGAGUGAUGACGGCCUUCGGGUUGUAAAGCUCUGUCUUCAGGGACGAUAAUGACGGUACCUGAGGAGGAAGCCACGGCUAACUACGUGCCAGCAGCCGCCGUAAAAC